GAUGAACGCUGGCUACAGGCUUAACACAUGCCAGUCGAGGGGAAACGACGGGGAAGCUUGCUUCCCCGGGCGUCGACCGGCGCACGGGUGAGUAACGCGUAUCCAACCUGCCUCUGACUGAGGGAUAACCCGUCGAAAGUCGGCCUAAUACCUCAUGGUAUCGUCUGCGGGCAUCCAACGACGAUUAAAGAUUUCAUCGGUCAGGGAUGGGGAUGCGUCUGAUUAGCUUGUUGGCGGGGUAACGGCCCACCAAGGCUACGAUCAGUAGGGGUUCUGAGAGGAGGGUCCCCCACAUUGGAACUGAGACACGGUCCAAACUCCUACGGGAGGCAGCAGUGAGGAAUAUUGGUCAAUGGGCGAGAGCCUGAACCAGCCAAGUAGCGUGCAGGAAGACGGCCCUAUGGGUUGUAAACUGCUUUUAUGCGGGGAUAAAGUGAGGGACGUGUCCCUCAUGGCAGGUACCGCAUGAAUAAGGACCGGCUAAUUCCGU
rnacentral:rRNA from 1 species